AACGAACGCUGGCGGCAGGCUUAACACAUGCAAGUCGAGCGCCCCGCAAGGGGAGCGGCAGACGGGUGAGUAACGCGUGGGAAUCUACCCAUCUCUACGGAAUAACGCAUGGAAACGUGUGCUAAUACCGUAUACGUCCUUCGGGAGAAAGAUUUAUCGGAGAUGGAUGAGCCCGCGUUGGAUUAGCUAGUUGGUGGGGUAAAGGCCUACCAAGGCGACGAUCCAUAGCUGGGCUGAGAGGAUGGUCAGCCACACUGGGACUGAGACACGGCCCAGACUCCUACGGGAGGCAGCAGUGGGGAAUAUUGGACAAUGGGCGCAAGCCUGAUCCAGCCAUGCCGCGUGAGUGAUGAAGGCCCUAGGGUUGUAAAGCUCUUUCACCGGUGAAGAUAAUGACGGUGACCGGAGAAGAAGCCCCGGCUAACCUCGUGCCAGCCGCCGCCGUAAUAC
rnacentral:rRNA from 1 species